UACGGAGGGUGCGAGCGUUGUCCGGAUUUAUUGGGCGUAAAGAGCUCGUAGGCGGCUUGUCGCGUCGACCGUGAAAACUUGGGGCUCAACCCCAAGCCUGCGGUCGAUACGGGCAGGCUCGAGUUCGGUAGGGGAGACUGGAAUUCCUGGUGUAGCGGUGAAAUGCGCAGAUAUCAGGAGGAACACCGAUGGCGAAGGCAGGUCUCUGGGCCGAUACUGACGCUGAGGAGCGAAAGCGUGGGGAGCGAACAGG
rnacentral:rRNA from 1 species